AUACGUAGGGUGCAAGCGUUGUCCGGAAUUACUGGGUGUAAAGGGAGUGUAGGCGGGAUAGCAAGUCAGAUGUGAAAACUAUGGGCUCAACCCAUAGACUGCAUUUGAAACUGCUCGUUCUUGAGUGAAGUAGAGGUUGGCGGAAUUCCUAGUGUAGCGGUGGAAUGCGUAGAUAUUAGGAGGAACAUCAGUGGCGAAGGCGGCCAACUGGGCUUUUACUGACGCUGAGGCUCGAAAGCGUGGGGAGC
rnacentral:rRNA from 1 species